GAGAUGACGUUGUAGCGCGAGAUAAUUUCUUAUAUCCGACGUACGUACGUAGUGGCAUUCAUAUAAGUGGAUUUAUUCGACUGCUUUUAAAUCCGAAAAGGCAACUUAUUGGAAUCGGCUUAGUUAGCAUUUUUGUAAAUAUUUAUAUUAAAACACGCACAGAUGUUUUAAAAGUUGAUUAUAUGGAAAUUAAACUUUAGUUCGUAUCAUUGGAAA